rnacentral:lncRNA from 10 species
ACAUAAUAAUAGUACAUAUUUAUGGGAUACAGUGAUAUGUUGAUAGAUGCAUACAGGAUAUAAUGAUGAAAUCAGAGAGAUUGAGAAGAGAGAAGUGCAAGAUCACACUUCUGCAGCUCUUUUUUUCUCCUUCUGGCACAUUUUUCAUUUUUAAGACCCCACGUCCUCCAUAUAUGCUUUCCUGGCCCACCCAUUUCCCUCCUCCCCUUACACAGAUGGAGAACUUCCUUUCUGGUGUUCUCUCAGCACUCAGCACAGAUUGCUAGUGCUUUUAUGUGCUGAGCCUUUCCCUUCAACCUGGACUGAAAGAGGAUGGCAAUCUCGCUGAAGCUGUUUCUUUUUCUUCACAACAUAUAGGAAAGUGUUGCCCCUUUUUGGAGUGGUGCAUAGGACGAUGACUAUAGAUUUUCAUCUGUAACUCCUAAAAACUUACUCAGAAAGUAACAACCUCCACCAACACUACUUGAAUCAGUACUGAACGAAUGUCAGGUCCUUGGGAAAUUCUCCAAUCCUGUCUCCUGUCCUGGCCGGGUGUGCUCCUGGUGCACCAUUCGACUAAGUCAAUUUGAACUAUUUGGGAGACCUUUGUACCUACGUUUCCUUCUGCUUGGAAGAUCCUUUCUGUUUUGUCAGCUCUUACUUCCAUGUUGUGGAAAACUGAUCUGACCUCCUAGUCCUGAAUCAGGGGCCAUAAAGAAAAUUGAUGAGGACAACUGGCCUCCCAGUAUGUGGAUUCAGUUUCCAUAUGUCAAUUUACCAACUCCCACUGGUAGUCUGAAGAGAUAUGGCUACUGGAGAACAGAAAAUCACCAGUAUUAAUAAAAGCAAUUUUAAGUGUUUACCUUUUAGUAUUUGAAUAGCUUUGUUAAAGAGACGUACUCAAGAAUACUAUGAAGAGACUCUUAUUGUACUCCUUACCUGGAGAUAAUUGUGAUGCCAGAAAUUCAAAUUUAUA